rnacentral:lncRNA from 1 species
AGGAGAGCAGGGAAGAUAAAAAGCCGUAAGCGUGGCUGUAUCCUCCAACUGCUGGGAGUUUGAGUGUCUGCGGACUCUGCACCAGUGGGCUGGACACAAUGAGAGUUCUCCAUUUACUGAAGGCCGUAUUUGAGUGUCUGAAGGGAACAAGCAAGAAGGCAGCGGCGAGAUGUGCUGCUUUCACCGCCCAGUGCUGACCCCAGAUCUGUGGCUGUAUCAUGAAGCUUGCUGCUUAACAACAGAAAUAAAGCACUUGUCAGGCAGAAGCAAUGCGUCAGUGCAAAACGCAAUUCUCGAGACUAAAGUUUACACGAGGCAACAACACAAUCCACUGUGCCAUUCUGU